rnacentral:rRNA from 1 species
AGAGUAUGAUCCUGGCUCAUGAUGAACUUUGGCGGUGUGCCUAAUACAUGCUAGUCGUACGCACGUAGCCCAACUGAUUGAUGGUGCUUGCACCUGAUUGACUUUGGAUCCACCAGUGAGUGGGGGACGGGUGAGGUAACACGUAGGUAACCUGCCCCGGAGCGGGGGAUAACAUUUGGGAAACAGAUGCUAAUACCGCAUAACAACAAAAGCCACAUGGCUUUUGUUUGAAAGAUGGCUUUGGCUAUCACUCUGGGAUGGACCUGCGGUGCAUUAGCUAGUUGGUAAGGUAACGGCUUACCAAGGCGAUGAUGCAUAGCCGAGUUGAGAGACUGAUCGGCCACAAUGGAACUGAGACACGGUCCAUACUCCUACGGGAGGCAGCAGUAGGGAAUCUUCCACAAUGGGCGCAAGCCUGAUGGAGCAACACCGCGUGAGUGAAGAAGGGUUUCGGCUCGUAAAGCUCUGUUGUUGGAGAAGAACGUGCGUGAGAGUAACUGUUCACGCAGUGACGGUAUCCAACCAGAAAGUCACGGCUAACUACGUGCCAGCAGCCGCGGUAAUACGUAGGUGGCAAGCGUUAUCCGGAUUUAUUGGGCGUAAAGCGAGCGCAGGCGGUUGCUUAGGUCUUAUGUGAAAGCCUUCGGCUUAACCGAAGAAGUGCAUCGGAAACCGGGCGACUUGAGUGCAGAAGAGGACAGUGGAACUCCAUGUGUAGCGGUGGAAUGCGUAGAUAUAUGGAAGAACACCAGUGGCGAAGGCGGCUGUCUGGUCUGCAACUGACGCUGAGGCUCGAAAGCAUGGGUAGCGAACAGGAUUAGAUACCCUGGUAGUCCAUGCCGUAAACGAUGA